UCUACAGGCAGGUGCCCGGUGACGCCAUAAAGAAAAGUCUGAGCGGUUCCACCAAUCAGAUAUAAACGUGUGCUCGGGCCCCCUCCCCCAUCCGCCUGCCCCCAACUUUUGUCCGCCGGGUGCUCCUGCAGCGCCCAGACCCCGGUCGCGCUGCCUUCGGGGCGUCAGCGGAGCAGCCUCCAGCCCACCUGGGACUGACCUCCAGGGCUUCGGCGUGAAGCAGUCCUUAACAGCCUGAGGAUGAACAUUUUUGAGGAGUUCUCUGCCCUGAUGGUGCAUUCUCGAUGUAUCAGGUUAGGAGGUCCAGGAUGACAGUUUGCCGUAUUCUGGGUAAAUAUGAACUUUGAUCACUGGCUUCAUUAAGGUGCUACCUGCCAGUUUUUUCCACUAUGAAGGUCUAACUUUUCCCUUUAUAGUUAAUAAUUUGUGGGGAGAUACUUUAAGAUCACGAACUUCUACCCAGUGACUUAGUACACAUUGGUGAUUCUGAAUCAGGUGUUACUAUAAUGGUAUAGACUGGUGAUUUUCAAAUUAUGUUCUACAUUUAUUAAUUGGCAU
rnacentral:lncRNA from 1 species